CACAGCAGGGGAAUGCUUGAUUAACAAGCAGAAGGUUGCCGGUUCGAAUCCCUGCGGGUACUAUAUCGGGCAGCAGCAAGAAAGGAAGAUGCUGGAAGGCAACAUCUCACCCUGCGCGGGAGGAGAUAAUGACUUCUUUGCUCCAAAGAAAAGACUGCCCUGAGCUGAGCGAAAGGGCAGCAGCAACGACAACAAUACCUUAGGAAUUUUGAGGAAACAACAGACUACAGACACAGUCCAAAUCAGUCCAAACUGGAGGCGGACGUACACCUAGGUGUCCCCCACCCCAAGUUGUGGGGGAUGGGAUGGAACACACCUGAGCAAUGAAGAACGCAGCCAGGGACAUCAAAGAGCUGGAUCUCAUCGCCCCGGCCCUUAGACUCUUGCCAAGGCUCAAGUGAAGAAGACAUAUAGUCCAACAAACACAGCAACCUUGUCAUGACAGGCAUGUAGGGAUGAGCCAAUUGAAACAAGCUCCCUUCGUAUCUGUUCUGACCCCCACCCCCACCCACCGUUCCUGCAACUUGGCCACUGGCAGUGCC